UGAGGAAUAUUGGGCAAUGCCCGCAAGGGUGACCCAGCAACGCCGCGUGGAGGAUGAAUGUCGUAAGAUUGUAAACUCCUGUUAGAGGGGAAGAAUAGUACCGGUUGGACCGGUAUAUGACUGUACCCUCAGAGAAAGCCCCGGCUAACUACGUGCCAGCAGCCGCGGUAAUACGUAGGGGGCAAGCGUUGUCCGGAUUUACUGGGUGUCAAGGGCGCGCAGGCGGGAUAAAAAGUCAGUGGUGAAAUCCUACAGCUUAACUGUAGAACUGCCUUUGAUACUUUUAUUCUUGAGUUCGGGAGAGAGAGACGGAAUUCCUGGUGUAGUGGUGAAAUACGUAGAUAUCUGGAAGAACACCAGUUGCGAAGGCGGUCUCUUGGUCCGACACUGACGCUGAGGCGCGAAAGCGUGGGGAGCAAACA
rnacentral:rRNA from 1 species